rnacentral:piRNA from 1 species
UGACCAGACCGCUGAGCGGUGGUGCUCAGAGU